AAACAGACUUAGUCCCUUGCAAAUAGUCUUGCUCCGAUACCAGCAGCACUCUAUAAAUCACUGCACCCAUUCCUGCAUGCAUGCUUUGAAGCACCAUGAGAAUCAGCCCAGAGGAUUCUGGGGCACAUCUAAGAAGGUCAGAUGGAAAAUAAGCAAUCGUGGAGACACAGCAGGGAGUAGGGGUACGCAGCACUGGACAAGAGGAGAGGUGGAAAAGAAGGCACCUUUUGUACCAAGAAAAGCUAGCUAUUCAUUUCUUUAUCUUUCAUGAUCCCAUUAACCCGUUCAUGGCAUCACCUUUUCUAAAUGUCUGGAGGUUAAGCCAGAUUUUGCCUUAAACUCCACUCUACGAAAUAAGUGUCACCAGACUGUUCCUCUCCCCUCGCAACCGCCUGAACUCUGCCAAGAGGGGAGACUGACAGCCCUUAUAUAAAAACAAGAGUGAAUCCCUGUUUCUGGGAAAGUAAUAGAAGACAUCCCUUGAAUUUGAAUGCUUGUUGUUUUGAGAAAAAGGCCAAGGGGCCAUGCCUGCUGCUUCAGGAGACAGAGGAAAUGACAAGAACUCCAAGGAUAUGGCCUCUCCUAGCAUGCCUGAUUGACAGAUCUGUUUUCUGCAUUCAAUACACUGUAAAAACAUUGUAGCAGACUUGGGACUUAUUCUUACAGAGAAAAAUAAUUAUGAACAGCAUACUAUUUGUGUGGAUUUUAAAAGGCACAACUGGGACCCUAUUAGCUUCGCUAGACUCUCUAUCUUUACAGAAAUGUUCAGUAAUUAAAUCUUAAAAACAGAGAUCAGAGCAAACACAGUCAAAAAUCUAAACACAAUCUGAAAUGCUGAUUUGAGUUGGUCAAGUAAUUUUCUAAAUCCAUGGCAACUUCAUUAGUUUGUUUUGACUGGAGAAAAACAGUGGGAAAACAUUCUACUUCUUUUAAAAACAACAUACUGUACUCCUACUUUGAAAAAAAAGUGUCAUUGCUAAAUUAAUUUGGAUUUGGAAAAUAAAGGCUAAAGUACCAAAAA